rnacentral:rRNA from 1 species
UACGCAGGAUGCAAGCGUUAUCCGGAUUUAUUGGGUUUAAAGGGUGCGCAGGUUGUUUGAUAAGUCAGUGGUGAAAGUCUGUCGCUUAACGGUAGGAUUGCCAUUGAUACUGUUAGACUUGAAUAUGGAUGAGGUAGGCGGAAUGUGUAGUGUAGCGGUGAAAUGCAUAGAUAUUACACAGAACACCGAUUGCGAAGGCAGCUUACUAAUCCAUCAUUGACGCUGAGGCACGAAAGCGUGGGGAUCAAA